CUACGGGAUGCAGCAGUGGGGAAUAUUGCACAAUGGAGGAAACUCUGAUGCAGCAACGCCGCGUGGAGGAUGACACUUUUCGGAGCGUAAACUCCUUUUAUAUAGGAAGAAGAUGACGGUACUAUAUGAAUAAGCGCCGGCUAACUCCGUGCCAGCAGCCGCGGUAAUACGGAGGGCGCAAGCGUUACUCGGAAUCACUGGGCGUAAAGAGCGUGUAGGCGGAUUAAAAAGUCAGAAGUGAGAUCCUAUAGCUUAACUAUAGAACUGCUUCUGAAACUCUUAAUCUAGAAUAUGGGAGAGGUAGAUGGAAUUUCUGGUGUAGGGGUAAAAUCCGUAGAGAUCAGAAGGAAUACCGAUUGCGAAGGCGAUCUACUAGAACAUUAUUGACGCUGAGACGCGAAAGCGUGGGGAGCAAACAGGAUUAGAUACCCCCGUAGUC
rnacentral:rRNA from 1 species